rnacentral:rRNA from 1 species
GACAGAGGGGGCAAGCGUUGCUCGGAAUCACUGGGCGUAAAGGGCGCGUAGGCGGGAUGGCAAGUCGGUCGUGAAAUCCUUCGGCUCAACCGAAGAACGUCGGCCGAUACUGCCGUUCUUGAGGGAUGCAGAGGAGAUUGGAAUUCCCGGUGUAGCGGUGAAAUGUGUAGAGAUCGGGAGGAACACCGGUGGCGAAGGCGGCCAACUGGACGAAUACUGACGCUGAGACGCGAAAGCGUGGGGAGCAAACAGG